GAUGAACGCUGGCGGCGUGCCUAAUACAUGCAAGUCGAGCGAACGGACGAGAAGCUUGCUUCUCUGAUGUUAGCGGCGGACGGGUGAGUAACACGUGGAUAACCUACCUAUAAGACCGGGAUAACUUCGGGAAACCGGAGCUAAUACCGGAUAAUAUUUUGAACCGCAUGGUUCAAAAGUGAAAGACGGUCUUGCUGUCACUUAUAGAUGGAUCCGAGCUGCAUUAGCUAGUUGGUAAGGUAACGGCUUACCAAGGCAACGAUGCAUAGCCGACCUGAGAGGGUGAUCGGCCACACUGGAACUGAGACACGGUCCAGACUCCUACGGGAGGCAGCAGUAAGGAAUCUUCCGCAAUGGGCGAAAGCCUGACGGAGCAACGCCGCGUGAGUGAUGAAGGUCUUCGGAUCGUAAAACUCUGUUAUUAGGGAAGAACAUAUGUGUAAGUAACUGUGCACAUCUUGACGGUACCUAAUCAGAAAGCCACGGCUAACUACGUG
rnacentral:rRNA from 1 species